CUGAUCAGAUAGGGAAUAACCAAUCAGAGAUACAGAUCGACCCGACAUCCGCCAUGUUGAACAUUCGCUUAAAGAAUCCUACAGGAAUAAACAACAACAGUCUGAUUGAUCUAUAAGGUGUAAAUAUAGAAACGGGGACGAAACCACAGGAAACCAAACUCUGCUGAGACACGUUCUGCUGCCGGUGGACGAGGUUUUGUCAGAGAAACCAGAUCACGAGGAGAAUUUAGCUCCACGCUGACGAGAGCAGACAGAGGAGACGAUCGGAGACUGAAUCAGGUGACGCAGUAAACCAUGACGCCACGGAAGCGAGUCAGCACGAACAACACCGGGAUCCUGGAACUGAAUUCAGACUGCAUUCAUUUUAUUAUGUACAUCUGUGAGUUUACCACUGUCAUAUGUGAAAAAAGGCACAGGAUGUAGAACAGCUACCAGAAAAGAACUACAAAGAAAAACUAAGACUUUCAUGAUGAGGCUUUUCUGGCAUCUGAAUCUUUUACAACGCUAACUAUCUACAGACUUCACAUUUAUUUAUAAAAAUCCGUGUCAGCAUUUAGUGGGUCCUGAGACUCCAAACCAGUUCAGUCCUUCACUCAUGCUCUUGUAGACCGACCCCAUCGCCAGACAGGAACAUCAGUAGUGGACGGUUCUGUGAGAUUUAUCUUUAGAAAUCUCCCUUUUUCUACAAUAUCCGCCCACGGAAACUGCAGUAGGAUGUUAUAAUUGAUAAAGAAACAUUGAUUGCUGGUCUGUGACGGGACGUGAACUCUCCUGCUUGAGAGUCAGACGUCCGUCCACCAUCCUGACUGUGCGCCGCUCGCUGGAGCAGCCUGAGUCUGAAUCUUCAGCCUUCUUUAUCAUCCAGUAAUGAGGUCACGUGUUCAUGGGGAAACGGAGCUGCUGGUUUCAUUACCCGUCCCUCAUCAUCUGUUGAACUCUGCUGAACCGACAGUACGGACAGCUGGACGAGGAGUUAAUUUCUUUAUUUCUUUUCCUUCAGUUGUUUUGGAAUUGCCCCUCUUCCCCUUUUUAUACGUACUGUAAGCCCUGCCUUCCUAACUCUCCUGCACAGGCUGUGUUUACACUGCAGAUUUGAAUGCCUCUGUGUGCGACGCUUAUCUUUUACAUAAAUGUCUUUUUUGAAAGUGCAGAGUAACACAAUUAGCUUCAGCACGUCUCCUGCUGCCGAAAGCAAGAACCGGGUUGCUGUGACUCAGUUGUUUCUUCAGUUUGGUUUCAGGUGUUCAAUCCACUUCAUCCUCAGUGGAGACAAAGGUGGAGACGUACAGAGAAUGAGAGGAAUUAGGAAUGUGUUACCUUAUGCAAAUGAGAUGCAAACGGCAUGCAAACGAGCGGAUUAAUGACAGCGUGCUGAGCCGGAGAGAAGGGAGAGAAACAGUGUUAACCUGCAGCAGAUUUGCAUCAGGCUGCAGAGACGAGUCCGAGCAGGACCAGACUCUCUCCUCGUGCUCGCUGCCGGGUAUCAAGGAUGCAUCUAUAAAUUAAAUGGGUGUAGUUAUGUCAUCUUCACAUAGAUGCAAGACUAUUUAAAAAGCAGAGGAUCUUUGUAAGGGCAAGAAAAAAACAUUUUUGACUUGGAUCCAAAUGUCGUCUAUUUAAAAAAAAAAAUCAUAAUAACACAUUUUUGUGGCUUGGAGUCAGCGUGCAGGUGUUACUCUUUAUAAAUGUUUGGUCUUCUCUGUCCGUCCAACACUUUGGUCCAGAGCGAAACAUCUUCAGCAUCUAACGACCAGAUUUCCGUAAAUGUGACUCCAUAAACAGCAGGAUUCUGACCUCGUCGACACAUUUCUGUUUCCUGGUUGGGUCAGGAAAGACUGCGGAGCGAGUAAUGGUUUCAUACACGCUCUACGCUCGAUUUCUAAUUUUAUUACUUGACUUAAAUGUUGCUAAAGAGUCCCGACAUCUUCUGAGGGUGAGAUCCUGAAGCCCUGGAUCAGCCAGAGACGAUGUGGAUCAGAACCUUUACAGACUUGAAACACUCCCCGGGAACAAGAAAACCAAAAAAAACCAACAAAACAGUUUCAUUAAAGUCCUAUCAAGUCUCAGCCUAUCAGACCAAGCUGUGGUCGUUUGUUCCACCUCAGCUCCGCAGUGACUCCGCCCGUCUCUGCCUAAAUGAGGCUUCUCUGGCUCCAGACAUGUGGUAAACCCAAACUGCAGACUUUAAUCCGUCUCUACAGAAACCAGAGGGGGACCACACAGUGUCUGCAGACUGGUUGCAUACAGUCUGACUCCUACACAACAUUUACAGACAGUGAUUCAAGCGUCUGAGAGGUGUUUCCACUACCAGACCUCACUCAGAAAUCAGUCGCUUUUAUAAUAUUUUCAUUUCUCAGACUCUGCAGUUUUCCCCGAACUUCCCCUUGUGUUUGUACA